rnacentral:rRNA from 1 species
UACGAAGGGGGCUAGCGUUGUUCGGAAUCACUGGGCGUAAAGCGCACGUAGGCGGACUCUUAAGUCGGUGGUGAAAUCCUGGAGCUCAACUCCAGAACUGCCUUCGAUACUGAGAGUCUCGAGUCCGAGAGAGGUGAGUGGAACUGCGAGUGUAGAGGUGAAAUUCGUAGAUAUUCGCAAGAACACCAGUGGCGAAGGCGGCUCACUGGCUCGGUACUGACGCUGAGGUGCGAAAGCGUGGGGAGCAAACAGG